rnacentral:rRNA from 1 species
AUACGGAGGGUGCAAGCGUUACUCGGAAUCACUGGGCGUAAAGCGCGCGCAGGCGGCCAUUUAAGUUGGAUGUGAAAGCCUACGGCUCAACCGUAGAACUGCAUCCAAAACUAUUUGGCUAGAGUGUGGGAGAGGAAGAUGGAAUUAGUUGUGUAGGGGUAAAAUCCGUAGAGAUAACUAGGAAUACCAAAAGCGAAGGCAAUCUUCUGGAACAUUACUGACGCUGAGGCGCGAAAGCGUGGGGAGCAAACAGGAUUAGAUACCCUUGUAGUCC